GACGAACGCUGGCGGCGUGCUUAACACAUGCAAGUCGAACGGAAAGGCCCUGCAGUUUUGGGGUGCUCGAGUGGCGAACGGGUGAGUAACAAGUGAGUAACCUGCCCUUGACUUUGGGAUGACUUCAGGAAACUGGGGCUAAUACCGGAUAGGAGCUCCUCCUGCAUGGUGGGGGUGGGCAAGUUUCGGCGGUUGGGGGUGGACGCGCGGCUUAUCAGCUUGUUGGUGGGGGAGUGGCUUACCCAGGCUUUGACGGGUAGCCGGCCUGAGAGGGUGACCGGCCACAUUGGGACUGAGAUACGGCCCAGACUCCUACGGGGGGCAGCAGUGGGGAAUAUUGUACAAUGGGCGGAAGCCUGAUGCAGCAACGCCGCGUGCGGGAUGACGGCCCUCGGGUUGUAAACCGCUUUCGCCUGUGACGAAGCGUGAGUGACGGUAAUGGGUAAAGAAGCACCGGCUAACUACGUG
rnacentral:rRNA from 1 species